rnacentral:tRNA from 1 species
GGGCUGAUAGCUCAGUCGGUAGAGCAGUGGAUUUUUAAUCCAUAGGUCCAGGGUUCGAGUCCCUGUCGGCCCACCA